rnacentral:rRNA from 1 species
GGUUUAAUUCGAUGCAACGCGAAGAACCUUACCAGGUCUUGACAUCCCACGAAUUCAUCUGAAAGGAUGGAGUGCCUUCGGGAGCGUGGAGACAGGUGGUGCAUGGUUGUCGUCAGCUCGUGUCGUGAGAUGUUGGGUUAAGUCCCGCAACGAGCGCAACCCUUGCUAUUAGUUGCUAACAGGUAGAGCUGAGCACUCUAAUGGGACUGCCGGUGACAAGCCGGAGGAAGGUGGGGAUGACGUCAAAUCAUCAUGCCCUUUAUGACCUGGGCUACACACGUGCUACAAUGGAUGGUACAGAGAGCAGCGAGGCAGCGAUGUGGAGCGAAUCUCAAAAAGCCAUUCUCAGUUCGGAUUGGAGUCUGCAACUCGACUCCAUGAAGUCAGAAUCGCUAGUAAUCGCGAAUCAGCAUGUCGCGGUGAAUGCGUUCCCGGGCCUU